rnacentral:misc_RNA from 1 species
AAGUCGUAACAAGGUCUCCGUUGGUGAACCAGCGGAGGGAUCAUUACCGGGUCCUUCGACUGCCCGAACCAAAACUGUGCAUCUUUACCGUACAAUCUCUUCCGCUGCGGCGGGCCGCUCGCUGGGGGAGCCCCGGGGCCGAGAGGCCUGGCCCGCCGAAGCGACAGUCUAUACCGAAGCACCACGCUCCGAAGCACGCUCUGAGAGGCAUUAAAGCCUUCUAAAGGCAAUUUUAAUUACAACCCACAACAAUGGAUCUCUUGGCUCCG